rnacentral:rRNA from 1 species
GACGAACGCUGGCGGCGUGCCUAAUACAUGCAAGUCGAGCGGACGAAUCGAAAGCUUGCUUUUGAUUCGUUAGCGGCGGACGGGUGAGUAACACGUGGGCAACCUGCCCUGUAGACGGGGAUAACACCGAGAAAUCGGUGCUAAUACCGGAUAACACGAAAUGUCGCAUGACGUUUCGUUGAAAGACGGCGCAAGCUGUCGCUACAGGAUGGGCCCGCGGCACAUUAGCUAGUUGGUGAGGUAACGGCUCACCAAGGCGACGAUGCGUAGCCGACCUGAGAGGGUGAUCGGCCACACUGGGACUGAGACACGGCCCAGACUCCUACGGGAGGCAGCAGUAGGGAAUCUUCCGCAAUGGACGAAAGUCUGACGGAGCAACGCCGCGUGAGCGAAGAAGGCCUUCGGGUCGUAAAGCUCUGUUGUUAGGGAAGAACAAGUAACGCAGUAACUGGCGUUACCGUGAUGGUACCUAACGAGAAAGCCACGGCUAACUACGUG